CUGCAGCUCAAGUGGUGAUCGUUAUUAUUGGGCCUAAAACGUUCGUAGCCGGUUUAGUAAAUGCCUGGGUAAAUCGUGUAGCUCAACUAUACGAAUUCCGGGUAGACUGCUAAACUUGAGACCGGGAGAGGCUAGAGGUACUCCUGGGGUAGAGGUGAAAUUCUGUAAUCCUAGGGGGACCACCAGUGGCGAAGGCGUCUAGCUAGAACGGGUCUGACGGUGAGGGACGAAGCCCUGGGGCGCAAACCGGAUUAGAUACCCGAGUAGUCC
rnacentral:rRNA from 1 species